AUUUUACUCCUCUGCUGGGUAUGGUGAGGGUGCUGAGCAAGAAAGAAGACUGGCCAUAUUAAGGGGGACCAGGCUUCCUGAAUCAGUUUGUAGCAGAAGAGUACAAGAGGGAGGAUCUACGAAAAACAGGCGAUGUGUUGAUCAGAGCCCCUAACCAUGAGGUGGUAUGGCACUACAGCCUCCGUCCUCUUGAGAGGCUGGGACUUCAGAAGAAGUGCCAUACCUGCUCCAUUGCCUACGAUGUACCAGCGGAAGUAGAAACACGGUUUCACAAGAAUCCCCUUCUUGAGACACAGGGCAUGGUGCUCUGUGGAGACACUCUCAUGAUUUGAGGCAGGUGGGUAGAUUGGAACAUGUUGCCCAGGGAAGUGGUGGUGUCACCAUCCCUGUGGUUGUUUAAGGAAAGGUUGGAUGUGGUGCUUAGGGACAUGGUUUAGUGGGUGAUAUUGGUGAUAGGGUGAUGGUUGGACCAGAUGAUCUUGGAGGUCUCUUUCAACCUUAAUGAUUCUGUGCUUCUAUGAUUUUAUUUUUCUGAAGGCCCAGAGCCAGCACUCGGUGGGUGAAUGCCAAGGGGAGUUGCAAUCACAGCUGUGCAUACAGUAAAGUGCUCUUGGGGCAGACAGGUGGAAGAAACUUCCAUCAUGACUAGAAGUGUAGUUUAGUGGGCUUUGAAACCAAUGUGCCAGCUGUGAAUUGGAGAGGGCAAUAGGUAUCCUUUGAUGGGAAUAUGAAAAAGGUGGAAAUCAAAGCAAAAAUGUUGAAUUGCACCUUGGGCACCAACCUUUUGUCUUAAAGAUAUUCCAAGAACCGAUAGACCCAAAACAUUCAAAACUUCCCUGAAGGAGCCUUCUAUUCU
rnacentral:lncRNA from 1 species